rnacentral:rRNA from 1 species
CGGAGUGAAAGGCGAACUGCUCAGUAACACGUAGCUAAUCUACCCUCACGCCGGUAAUACCCUCGGGAAACUGAGGCUAAUGACCGAUAGGAAACUUCUACUGGAAUGUGAUGUUUUCGAAAUCUUGUGUGAGGAUGAGGCUGCGGCGGAUUAGGUUGUUGGCGGAGUAAUGGCCCACCAAGCCGAUGAUCCGUAAGGGCUCUUAGCGGAGAAGCCCUGAGAGGGAAUCUGAGACACUAUUCCCAGCCCUACGGGGUGCAGCAGUCGGGAAAAUUCUGCAAUGCACGCAAGUGUGACAGAGCAAGCCAGAGUGCAUUCCCGUAUUGGGAACGCUUUUGUGAAAUGUAAAAAGUUUCACGAAUAAGGACCGGGCAAGACUGGUGCCAGCCGCCGCGGUAAUACCAGCGGUCCAAGUCGCAAUCAGCUUUAUUGGGUCUAAAACAUCCGUAGCUUGCUGUAUAAGUCUCUUGUGAAAUCUCAUUUCUCAAGAAUGGAAGUGCGAGAGAUACUGUACAGCUAGAGACCGGGAGACGUGAAGAGUACGGUUCGGGUAGCGGUAAAAUGCGUUGAUCCUUACUGGACUAACAAUAGCGAAGGCACUUCACGAGAACGGAUCUGACAGUGAGGGAUGAAGGCUAGGGGCGCAAAACGGAUUAGAUACCCGUGUAGUCCUAGCAGUAAACACUGCUCACUAAACAUUGGGGCCUCCUCGAGAGGUUUCAGUGCUGUAGGGAAGCCGUAGAGUGAGCUACCUGGGAAGUAUAGUCGCAAGGCCGAAACUUAAAGGAAUAGGCGGGGGAGUACUACAACGAGUGACGCGUGCGGUUCAAUUAGAUUCCACACCGUGAACCUCACCAGGACCGACAGCAGGAUGAAGGUCAGUCUGAAGGGCUUACCUGACACGCUGAGAGGAGAUGCAUGGCCGACGUCAGCCUGUGUCGUGAGAUGACCUGUUAAAUCAGGUAACAGGCGAGACCCGCGUGCAUAUUUACUUCGUGUACAAUAUGCAGACUGCCUUGGUAACAAGGAGGAAGGUGCGGGCUACGUCAGGUGAGUACGUCCCGAAUGUCCUGGGCUACACGCGCGCGGCAAUGCAACGUUCAGUGGGUUGCGACACCGAAAGGUGAAGCCAAUCUCUUAAACCGUUGCCUAGUUCAGAUCGAGGAUUGCAACUCAUCCUCGUGACGCUGGAAUUCGUAGUAAUCGUGUGUUAUCAGCAGACGGUGAAUAUGUCAAUGCUCCUUGCACUCACCGCCCGUCAAACCAACCGAGUUUAGCAUUGGCGAGGCUCGUCAGGGACGAACCUUUGUUAGACAAGGUAGGUUAAGUCGGCACAAGGUA